rnacentral:rRNA from 1 species
CCCUUAGAUGUUCUGGGCCGCACGCGUGCUACACUGAGUGGAUCAGCGGGUCAGGUUGCGCGAAAGUGUUUCCUAAUCUUUAAAUCCGCUCGUGAUGGGGAUUGACGGUUGCAAUUUUCUGUCAUGAACGAGGAAUACCUUGUAAGCGCGGGUCAUCAUCCCGCGCUGAAUACGUCCCUGCCCUUUGUACACACCGCCCGUCGCUCCUACCGAUUGAGUGGUCCGGUGAGACUUUGGGAUCUGAGCGGAAAGAGCGUUUCGCUGUUUCUGCUCGGAAAACUCAGUCGAACCUUAUCAUUUAGAGGAAGGAGAAGUCGUAACA